AUGGUGGGGCAGGGGGAGCAUUCCAUGGGGCAAUCCCUCCUGUGCUGCAGCAGGGAGGGAAAAGAAAUAGAGGGGAAAAAAAACCCCAAAGAGUGCCAGCACAUUUUCCCGUGUUGUAGCGUAUUUGUAAACAUCGUUAAUCACGGAUUAGCAGAUGGUGAUGUUAAUUGCACCUGUGGAAGCAACAAGACCUCGAGGUUGAUUACAUUUACAAACGGGAGCGGGGCUGCGCCUUCAGAGUGCCCCGUGGGCAGCAAUCCCAGCUCCAGCUCCACUCCCAGCACAUUCCCAGCUCCAGCUCCAAUCCCAAUCCCAGCUCCAGAUCCAAUCCCAGCACAUUCCCAGCUCCAGCUCCACUCCCAGCACAUUCCCAGCUCCAGCUCCAAUCCCAAUCCCAGCUCCAGAUCCAAUCCCAGCACAUUCCCAGCUCCAGCUCCACUCCCAGCACAUUCCCAGCUCCAGCUCCAAUCCCAAUCCCAGCUCCAGAUCCAAUCCCAGCACAUUCCCAGCUCCAGCUCCACUCCCAGCACAUUCCCAGCUCCAGCUCCAAUCCCAAUCCCAGCUCCAGAUCCAAUCCCAGCACAUUCCCAGCUCCAGCUCCACUCCCAGCACAUUCCCAGCUCCAGCUCCAAUCCCAAUCCCAGCUCCAGAUCCAAUCCCAGCACAUUCCCAGCUCCAGCUCCACUCCCAGCACAUUCCCAGCUCCAGCUCCAAUCCCAAUCCCAGCUCCAGAUCCAAUCCCAGCACAUUCCCAGCUCCAGCUCCACUCCCAGCACAUUCCCAGCUCCAGCUCCAAUCCCAAUCCCAGCUCCAGAUCCAAUCCCAGCACAUUCCCAGCUCCAGCUCCACUCCCAGCACAUUCCCAGCUCCAGCUCCAAUCCCAAUCCCAGCUCCAGAUCCAAUCCCAGCACAUUCCCAGCUCCAGCUCCACUCCCAGCUCCAGCAGCAUUCCCAAUCCCAGUACAUUCCCAGCUCCAGCAGCAUUCCCACUCCCAGCACAUUCCCAGCUCCAGCAGCAAUCCCAAUCCCAGCACAUUCCCAGCUCCAGCAGCAUUCCCAAUCCCAGCUCCAGCUCCAAUCCCAACAAUAUUCCCAGCUCCAGCAGCAUACCCACUCCCAGCACAUUCCCAGCUCCAUUCCCAAUCCCAGCUCCAUUUCCAAUCCCAGCUCCAUUCCCAAUCCCAGCUCCAUUCUCAAUUCCAGCAACAUUUCCGGCUCCAAUCCCAGCUCCAGCAGCAUUCCAGUUCCAUUCCCAAUCCCAGUUCCAUUCCCAAUCCCAGCUCCAGCAGCAUUCCCAGGCUGCUCCCUUCCCCUGCCACCAACCUGGAAUUUGGAGAGGGAAAGGUGUCCCCUGUCCCAGAGCCAUUCCAGCCUCCAAAACACCACUGGGACCCAGCAGUGAACUGGUGGAACGGGAUUUUUCCAGUUGUUGGAUUGGGUGCAGUGGGAUUUUUCCAGUUGUGGUGA
ensembl:lncRNA